rnacentral:rRNA from 1 species
UACGUAGGGAGCAAGCGUUGUCCGGAAUCAUUGGGCGUAAAGCGCGCGUAGGCGGCCCUGUAAGUCCGUUGUGAAAGUCAAAGGCUCAACCUUUGAAAGCCGGAUGGAUACUGCAGGGCUAGAGUCCGGAAGAGGCGAGUGGAAUUCCUGGUGUAGCGGGUGGAAUGCGCAGAUAUCAGGAGGAACACCGGUGGCGAAGGCGGACACUCUGGGCCG